CUUCUCUGUACAGUGCUUAAAGAUGUUUCAUAUUUGCUUUUACUGGAUAGUUUCUAAACUGCAUAUUGUAUAAUAGCACUGCUUUUUUCCCCAUGUACUUUGCUGAGAGACUGAUGCAGUAGCUAUAUGAAGCUAGACUCAGUACACAGUUGGAAAAGGAUUAAGCAGAAAAUACUUUAACCCUGCAGAGUGGAAACUACAUGGACGAGUGAGUUGGCUUCAGGCAACAAUGCACAAACACCAUUGCCAACUGAGUUCCAAUUGUAGAAUCUUUAGCCCUGACAACGAUGCAUGAACCAGGAAGAACACAGCUUGACAUUCAGAGCCCAGAACGAACAAGUCUGCAAGCCUGGGAGCUGUCGGUGCGCGUGCAUUUCAAACCAAACCAUCUUUCUAAUUGUAAACAGGACCUGACGGAUGCUGAAGACACUGAUGCAGACAGAAUAUGAAACUGUCAUUUUUAUAAUCAAUUUUCUGAUCCUAACUGUGCUUUACCAGGCACACUAUUUACAUGAGUGUAGAAAAAGACUCAACUUUAUACAGAAUAUCUUGACAAAGCCCUGGCUGGGAUGAUUUAGUUGGGGUUGGUCCUGCUUUGAGCAAGGGGUUGGCCUAGAUGACCUCCUGAGGUUUCUUCCCACCCUAAUCUAUGAUUCUAUGAUCUUAAGGAUGCAUGGAUUAAAGAAGAAAUUGUGACUACAUAACACUUUUCAAUCACAUUUGUACUUUAAUGUUUCAACAUAAGCAGAAAAAAUACUAACCUUCUCUUCUUGUAUGACAGACUGUAUCCUACAAUAAAAAAAAAGAAAACGGUAA